UCCCUGUUGGCUCAGACGGUAAAGCAUCUGCUUGCAAUGAGAGAGACCUAGGUUUGAUCCCUGGAUUGGGAA
rnacentral:tRNA from 1 species